rfam:Candidatus Yanofskybacteria bacterium RIFCSPHIGHO2_01_FTLL_44_17 rifcsphigho2_01_scaffold_15100, whole genome shotgun sequence.
UGGGAGAUCGUCUAAUGGUAGGACAGCGCCCUUUGAAGGCGUUUAUCCUGGUUCAAGUCCAGGUCUCCCAG